UUAUAAUUUUAUAUAGUAAACGGGUCGCCUUUUUGUGAGGUAUUUAUGUUUAUGGAUGCAUAAUGGAAGCAAAAUUAGUACUGUUUAUCGCUAGUGCCAUUAAGUAAGGUACGUUAAUCUGGGGAGUUGACCUACGUUUGGUAACCUGCGCAUGCGCAUUUAGCGCCCUUGUGCCUUGCACACGGAGGUGCAUACUGUAGUCUCGUGUACUGUAUGCGAAUAUCGCUUCUUAGGCAGAGAGGGAUCUGGGGAGUGUAUUUUAUAGGUUAUCUUAGAGAUUGUAGGUUAAGUAGAUUAAUAGUGAAUAUACAUGUUAUGUUUAGGUAGAUAUUAUUGGCAACAUGUAUAUUGGAAAGGGUCUAUUAUGUAUAGCUAGUUCUAUAUUUUAUAUUUUGUUUAUAUUUGUUGAGACCACACACACACACAGAUACAAAGCUAUUGCACCUUGAUCAAUGUCAGUAAAACCCUUCAUUGCAACUACGGCCUGGUCAUUGGAACCCCACCCAUAAGCAAAGCCAGAGUUCUGACCGACUCUCCACAGUGAUUUGAACCAUCCAAUCACCAGCACAGUACACUAUUUUUCACUUAGGAAAAAGAGCAGAAAGAAAAGGACAAAUCACAGACAAGUCUGUUGGAAUCUGAGAACCAGCAGAUAGACACAACACCUGCUGAGCACCUCACACCUGGCACACCUGCCCAAGAUUCUGAGUAUCAGGAGGAGACCACAGACAACAGAUCCAGUCUGGGCCCAGAACCAGCACCAGAGGACCCAUCCUCAUGUCUGGCCCAGUCCCAGCCCUCCUCUGCAGACCCAGAUAAGUCAGACGCAAAGAGU